UGGAAAGCUUAGCCACUUUGUUAUUCAGCUGAGAACACUUCCUUUCGACAGACUGCUUUUCUUUGAGCAAGUCAUUCAGCCUCUGUUCCAGACUGUCACACUUCUCAAUGGUCUCUUUAAAUUUGGUCUUCAUGUUGUUAAUCUCUUCAGCUGUAUCCUUUUCUAUUCGGACAAUCUUGUUUUCCCAAUAGAUUCUCUGCGAUUCCAGCUGGCUUGUUAGCAAAUAUGAGUACUCUAAUUGUAAGGCAUCAAUUUUCUCUUCCUGACACAUAUCUCCCUCGCACUCAUACUGAAC
rnacentral:lncRNA from 1 species